rnacentral:rRNA from 1 species
AACGAACGCUGGCGGCGUGCCUAACACAUGCAAGUCGAACGUGAUUGGAAGCUUGCUUCCAUGAAAGUGGCGCACGGGUGAGUAACGCGUAGAUAAUCUGCCUGAUGAUCCGGGAUAACACCUCGAAAGGGGUGCUAAUACCGGAUAAGCCCACGGGGUCUUCGGACUCUGCGGGAAAAGGGGGGGACUUUCGGGCCUUCCGUCAUCAGAUGAGUCUGCGUACCAUUAGCUAGUUGGUAGGGUAAAGGCCUACCAAGGCGACGAUGGUUAGCUGGUCUGAGAGGAUGAUCAGCCACACUGGAACUGAGAAACGGUCCAGACUCCUACGGGAGGCAGCAGGGGGGAAUUUUGCGCAAUGGGGGAAACCCUGACGCAGCAACGCCGCGUGAGUGAUGAAGGCCCUUGGGUCGUAAAGCUCUGACAGAGGGAAAGAAGUGCAGGGGUGCUAAUAUCACCUUUGCUUGACGGUACCUUCAAAGGAAGCACCGGCUAACUCCGUGCCAGCCGCCGCGGUAAUAC